GCUCGCAUACCUGCUCGUCAUAUUUCAACCGAGAUUUUCCAAAAUCGAAGACCUAACAGGGUCAUUAUAUUUCACGCCUUCACUCACUGGUUUCCCACGCAGUGAGCAACCAUUGUAAAUCUCCAAGAAAUCCGAUCAUCUUCCUUCCCAAAACUGAAACCCAAAGUCAGGUACGCUAUUUUCCUCUCCCACUUCUCUUUAUUAUGAUUUUUCUUGUAUUUCGAUCUAUUCAUUACCAUUAAAUCUCAUAUUACAACCGAGUUUUUCAAAAUCUAAGAGUAAAGCCUUUCCGCCUUCACUCCCUGUUUCCCACGAAGUGAGAGCACCGCUGUAAAUCUCCCUCAAAAUCGAUCAUCUUCCUUUCCAAAAGGUGAAACCCCAACUCAGUGAGAGCAACCAUUGUCAAGAACCCCUGAAGAAACUCGAUCAUCUUUCUUCCCAAAAGCUGAAACCCUAAGUCAGG